rnacentral:rRNA from 1 species
GACGAACGCUGGCGGCGUGCCUAACACAUGCAAGUCGAGCGAUGAAAUUCCUUCGGGGAUGGAUUAGCGGCGGACGGGUGAGUAACACGUGGGUAACCUGCCUCAAAGAGGGGGAUAGCCUCCCGAAAGGGAGAUUAAUACCGCAUAACAUUAGUUUUUCGCAUGAAGAACUAAUUAAAGGAGUAAUCCGCUUUGAGAUGGGACCCGCGGUGCAUUAGCUAGUUGGUGAGGUAAAGGCUCACCAAGGCGACGAUGCGUAGCCGACCUGAGAGGGUGAUCGGCCACAUUGGAACUGAGACACGGGUCCAGACUCCUACGGGUGGCAG